GGCUCGAGGCUCGCUUCCGCCGCCAGACCCAAACCAGCCUCCUCUCCAUUUCGCAUCCCCAAACUAAACCAAAGCUCCACCUCUCCUCGCAUUUUCAGGUCGCCUGUGGAGUUGAGCUGCUGUGUGGAGACGAUGCUUCCGUACCACACAGCCACAGCCUCUGCAUUGCUCACUUCGAUGCUCUCUGUCUCUCAGCGCUCCUACGGUUGGACCCCUGAAGGGGGGUGAUGUUAGAUGAUGAUGGAUGGAAGUGUGGCCAUGACAUUGAAUCAGGCAAGACAAGACUAGAUGAGGAUCAAGCAUCAAAUAUGGAGUGACUUGGAUUUGUUUUUGUUGUCGACUUUUGAAAGUGUUCAUUGGACUGUUCUCUUCAGUAGAAUAGAUGAGAAGAACAUCAAUCUACAAUUAUCUAGCAAAGUGUUGACUUUUAUGUGUAAAAUUGGGUUUUUCAUUCAUAUAACAGUUGUAUUCCUUUGCAUAAAUGUGCUUUUGUGCAAUUCUUUCAACAAUGGUGAAUUGAAUAUCUGAUGGUUUCUGCUGAUAUGAAUGUUGAAACUUUGAAUGGAAAUGCAAAAAUUUAGUCAA